CUCUCCUCUCAUUCACUCAUUCACUGAAUCAUACGAAAAUCAUUGUCAAUGCUUCUUCUUUACAUGAGAUGGACAAUCAUCACGCGCUGUUUGAUGUGAUAUAAAAAAAAAUAUGAUUCCACUUUUCACCCGCUAUAAUUCACCAACUGAUUGUUUCAAAUGUAGGUCUAGAUUGAGAAUUACUUAAUAAGCUAAAGUUAUACCAAUCCAUGUUUUCAUAUUGAUAACAGAUCAAAUGACUUCAGGUAGUCUGCAGUUGGCCUCAGUCAGCACCUUUUGAGAUGUUUUUUUGGACUUGGUUUGCACUGAAUUAUAUUGCUUCCGCUUGUUGCACCAUUUAUAAUCAUCAUCACAUUCAUUUGUAUUUCACUUAUGUACAGUGUUCAGAUUUUGGUUUGGGGAGCAGGGAGGGAAGAGCCUUACUAUUGCUUGAGACGGAGGAAAAGGUGUUUGUAGAUCAAUCAAAGUUUACAGCAGUGAUUCUCAAAGACUGGGUCAGGACCCACAUGCUGGGUCGCAGGAGAAUUUAUUAGGGUCGCCAAAUAUAUCUGCACAAUUUCUUCCACAGUCUUUUAAUUGAACAUUUAUAUCUGCGGUUCACCUUUUGAGCCACACGGGGGAGCCUGAAUGUUCAUAUUGUCCGUUUUAAGACACUUCUGUAUGGCUUCAUUUGGCAGAACCGGAGGUUGCUUCCUGCUUGGUGUCCUUGAGCAAAACACUGAACCCUAGAGGCUCCCCGGGGCGCUUCAGCCCACUGCUCCUAAAGGUUAUGGGUUAAAUGCUGAGGUCAGAUGUCUAUGUACCUGUACGUAUAUGACCAUUGUCAUAAGGUUUAUGUUUUUUUACAUUUUAAUCAGGAGGAGACCAUUGAUGUGUGAAGGGAUUUUGGCGACACUACAAUGCAUAAUAAUUAAGUUAGGGAAUGCUUAUCCCAAUACAAAAAAAAAAAAAAAAAAAUAUGCAAAGCACAUUUUUUUCUGAAAUAAGUGUUUUAGUAUAACCAGGAGGAGUUCAUUGAUGCAAGGAGUGAUUUUGGUCACACCAAAGUUAUUGAACAUGUUUACCGUGUGUCUUUUCAGCGUUGCUCUUUGUGGACGGUCCCUACUCACUCCGCUCACCGCUGACAGAAACCAGUAUUAUUAGCUCCUUCUGAGGAAACAUUAGGGUGGAGUUCAUUAGGGCAUCGUUAGUGUUUUAACAACAUGUCGUUUAUGAGUUAUUAUUAUGAGCAAACUACGGCUGGAUAGGCCCACAGCUAGAUCCCUAACAAUUCGCAUACACACAUCAGAGAGGCACUGAUGAUGAUGCAACCAACAGUAUAGUGCAUAGUGACUAAACACCUCGAGAAUCCAAAGGCCUUUGCUAGACUGUUGUUUGUAGACUUCAGUUCAGUGAUAUCUACACCUGAAGCUGCUGGAGGGGAUGGCUGCUGUGGACCACCUGCUGAUCGGAGGUCUGCUUUACCUGGACCACCAUCGUGGAGGUAAGAGAACUAAAUCCAUGUUUCCUUACUUUCUUUCCUGAACCUCCCUGAGAACUGUGAAAGCUUCCUCAGCACAGAAAUGAACACACUUGUUGAAUCUAAAGGUGAAAAAGUAUCAGAAUAUGUGAUGGCCUGUUGGGUGAAUCUCUGCGUUUUCUUGGUGUAAAAUUAAUAUAAGUGUGUUUUAAUGUAUAAAAAGUUGUGGGACACGUGCAUGUGUAAUACAUAAACAAUGCAUGGUGCAGGGAUUUGAAAAAAAUAAGAUGGCGACCGGGCCGAUUUUCAUAAAAUGAAACUAUUGGGAGCCCAACGCAAGAACGUGCAGGUGAGGGGCCCCGUUCCUCUGUGUGGAUGGAGCAUCGGGUCCUUUUAGUUAUUAAAUAUAUAAUCUGUUCAUAACGUUUGAACUAAAAACAGCUUUUCUUUGAUUAUUGCUUGUUUUGUCACUAAUAUUUAAAUGUAACAAGAAGCACUCGGGUCUUUCCGUGCGUUAACUUUUUGUUUCCUCACAGGUGUCUCGUACAUCGUUGAACGUCCCGCAGCCGAAGGGAUCCCCGAGGUGCUCAGGAUCAUCGGCGAUGACGACAAAGGUAAGUACGAAGGUACGACGGCGAGCCAGCGGAGAUCGUCUUUUACAUCGAAGACAGCGAAGAAGCAGCCAUCGGUGUUCCUGAGGUAGAUGAGGAACAAGAGGAUGAAGGUCAGGGCAUCCACCAUCUCCCCUUAGAUGAUGUAGGCAGCGAUAAAGAGGAUGGAGGUGAUGAAGACUCAGAAGUCACAGAUGACAGCGCUGAUUGGUCUGGCAGGUCUGAAGCUUCUGACUGGAUCAGCGAGAUUCUGGGUUCGACAGCAUGUCGUCUGAGGAGGAAGAGGACGCUGGCUAUCGGGAGGAUGGUUUUUGGAGUGAUGAAGAGGAGUUUGAGUUUGAAGACAACGGCGACAUCUUCAGAGCUCCUCGCUGUGGAGGUCUCCUGCGGGAACCUGACCAGCUUCAGCAACCACCUCAGCAUCCAGGAUGCUUUGAGGAAGAAGAGGACAGGUCCAAAAAGCCGACUCCCUCAACCUCCGGCCCUAGCUCCUCCACAAGGAGGAGCAGGGAGGAGGGCGACGAGGAGAGGGAUCCCCCCCAAGAGACAGAAGACGAGUUCCGAGCAUUGCUACGGCGAUGCCCCUCCUUCGACGUCUGGCCUCGGAUGCUCCGCAAACGGGAGAUGGGCGCGAUGCUGGGGGGUCGUUGCUAGGAGCCCGAACUGGUACGAUGACAGCGACUCAGAUUAGGAUUUUAGCUCUGUAUGCAGCAGGACUGACAAUCCAUCUGGAGACAGUCGCAGUCGCGUAUUUUGCGUCCGGCAUUACUGGUAGCACCCUGGGUCGCAUCUUCCACCCCGGGUUUGGUUUGGUUUAAUUUAAUAUUAUUAUUACUGGUUUGCUAAUAAUAUAAAAUAUAUAUAAUAUUUACUUUACGGUCACAUGGUAGUUAUUCUUCCUAUUCAUUGGUUUCAGAAUGUCAAGGAGGCGGGUCUUAUCUAACAAAAGCCUGUCAGGGAAGACGAUCUGUGACCCAAGAGGAGUGAGGAGACACAGCGCGGGAUGAGUCCAACUCACCUUCCAUCCUUCUGGCUGCGGCUCAGUGUAGAGCAGGUCGGCUUUUAACCACAAGGUUGGCGGUGCGAUUCCCAACUCCUGCAUGCAGGGAGACACCGAAGCACAACUGGCUCCCCGACCGCUUUACAGCAUCCCACAACAAUACUUAGGAUGGGUUAGAUAUGGAACAAUAUGGAACCCAUCGGUGUCAGGGGACAAUGGGACUUCCAUUAUAUUAAUGGGACUACCUGUGCCGUGUCAAUAAUAUAACUAUACAUAUAGCAGAUAGAUGGGACCCUCCUCUCAGGUCUGGUCGUAAGAGGAGACCGCUCUUCCUGAUCCAGGCCUGAUUACAUCCGUAUCACUGCUCUUUUUUGUUGAUAGGAGCCAGUAGAAGUAUUAGAUUGAAAUAUCUCCACUGGCUCCUAUGUGUGCCAUGUUGCUCUGAGGUUCAGUGGGUUUCCUGCUGAUCCCAGAUCAUUUGGGGAAAAUGGUGAGGACAAAAUUCUGACUUGGAUAGAAAGUGACCUUACAUGUGAUAUACCUGUUUAUUCAUUUAAUAGAACUCAUAAGUUAAAGAUCACUCACUCUUUUGUUCUUUGAUUUCUUUGUUUGUUUUUUUACUGAGGUGAAGAUAUCUUGAGAUACAGGUAUGGAGAUCAUUAAUAACAUUAUUAAACGAGUCUAAUUAUUAGUAGUUAAUGCAUUAUUCAUUAUUUAUCUUUCAAUUCGUAAUAUUUUGAUGUCAGGCCAGGAUUCCUGUGUCUCCUGAGGGUGGAUGUCAACCAACCAAUCAUCCCAGGAAGCUGUGGCAGCCCACUGAACACCAAACUGUCUUCCAGACCCCCAUCAGCUGGAUCCCUAAACUGCCAGCCCCACCAACACCCUACCUCCCCCCAGCAGUCAAGAGGAUGAGCAGGGCAAACUGGACAGCAGAGAUGUUUCAGUCCACCAAGGCAGGACUCUUUUCCUGAUGCACUCGACAGUCGAUGUCAGCCAGCCGAACAUCUCAGGAAGCUGCAGAAACCACAGCAGUCUACCGAACACACCCCCAAAACCAGUGUGUCACCAUUGAGAUGAAGAAGACGGCAGCCCUGGUCAGUAGGAUGAGGAGUGCCACUGAGCUUCCUUUGUGGUGGCGAGUUUGUGAAGCUGCUCACACGCACCGAAGAAGCUCUCCGCAUCGGCGCACAUCGAGACGGUCAAGAAAGAGACACUAACAGACCAACAUGUUCUUUGGGGCUGUGCAGUGCCUUCCUACGCAUAAUUACUUGCAUCUUUGUUUGGUGUUGAAUUCAAUAAAAAGGUCAAAAUGUAA